GUUUUCCAAGUGUUUGAUCUCGAUUCUUAUCCUUGCCCCCACGAUCGACAAGCUUCGAUCACAAGACGCGGACGUUUGACGGCCGGCUGGCGCGCGACAUUUCUUUAUAUCUGCCGUGUAACACGUGGCGAGGACGCGGCAAUCCGCGGUGCAAAUGCAACUCGUGCAGCUCGUAGAUGCAACUGGCCGCGCGCUUCGCGCGUCGCGGCAAAACGGUCGCGCGGCAGAACGGGGGCGGAACGAAGGCGCACGGGGGAGCAGAGCGAGAUCGUUUAAUCUGCCUUUUCGUGGAUGCUGCCAGGUGCAGCCUCUCGGCGACCGACGCAAUUGCCGUGCUCGAUAUAAACGCGAACGGCGAAGACAUAUGCAUGCACGUGCCCUCAGGGUCGCGGCUCUCAGUGCCUUCGCGAGAAAAAGACCGGAUGGGCGACUCUGAUACCGAGGCCGCGUUACGCACCCUUGAUGAGCGUUUCGGAGUGAUCAGCCCUUAGACUGCCUAACUCCCGGAAGAGAACAAGAGGAAGCGUCGCGCACGAGAUUCUUCCAUCGAGAACCAACAAAGAAUCGAGAAGAGGGUACCUCUUGUAGCCGAGGAUGCGGAUGUUCCAGAGCACGGAUGAGAGAAAAGCGCGCCGAGCGGGUGUAGGGAAGCAAGUAAGGCACGUCACGCGCGAGAGGAAUCCGUAAGAUCGUUCGAUCUUACAAUCGAAGACCACGCGUCUCGCCGAAGGACGAGCAGGACUGUCGGUGAAGCCACGGCGGCGUUCCCCGUGUCAACCCCUUCGAGGAGCUCUGCACGAAGGAGCGACGUGGUGGAGAGCGUGCGACGCGUGUCCGCGGCGCGAGAAUACUGCUCCUCUUGCGAAAGGUGGAGGCGCCUGCACGCUCUUCGGUAUUGAUCCACGUGGACGACACUCCUCUCCUCGUUCGUUCGACCAGCCCCGCCGUCUCUUCGUGGCCGUCCAUCGGCGAUCUGCCUUGUUCUGCUCGCGAUCACUGCCGCUGGUUCAGCGGCUUGCGUGGCUGCCUGGACCCCAUGGGAUUUCCUCGGCAGGUUGAAACAGCCAUCAGGGACAUGGCUGGCUGGAAGAGAUCGACGACCUCGGGCGGUUUUUCGUAGGCGCGACACUCGGGGGUAGAUUCGUCGAUGCGUCAGUGAACGACCAAUUAACUCUGAGGACCGCGUAUGCGUUUAAAGAAAUAUGUAGAUAUAAGCGCGCGUAUCCAGAUUAGUAAAAAUACAUCUGAGUUGAAUAAAGAUAUAAAUAAAAAAA